UUUUCUUCUCUUGAAUUGUGCAGCAAAGGAAUCCGCGCCUCUGAUGGCUUCUCCGAGGAGUGGUACGGCGAACCAGGAGGGUGCCGAUCAAUCUGACGCAUCAAAAGUAAUAAAUCUCACUCAGUUCUUCAAGGUCAAAUUCUCUAAUUUCUUUGUUUUGAACCAUUGCAGGAACACAUCCCUCAAUGCAAACAAAUAUGAUUGUCAAACAGAUUGACUUACCAUGCAACCUUGUGGAACUUGUACAACAAACCGUGGCCAGAAUCUGCAGAUCCAAACAGCGACGAAAAAUUAGUUUAUUCUGCAUUUAGAAAAACAAAGCAGUACCAUGCACAGUACCCCUAAUUCACAUUUAAUUGAAUGUGCGGACAUUCUUGUAGCAUCUCUGAUUUCAGUUCCUGGAAAGCAUCCACUACAGUUUUUAUAUUCAGUGCAUAUACUUCCUGGGAAGUACUCUGGAAAUACUUGUCAUUGAAAUGGAUGUAUCUAGAUGUAUUCUAGUUCUAGAUACAUCCAUUUUGAUGACAAGUAAUUCCGAACGGAGGGAGUAUUAACUAAAUUGAAUCUUAAUUGAUAUAUGAUCUGCAGGAAACCACAGUAGAUCACACCGAUGAAAGGGUACCAAAGCUUGGCAUGCAAUUUUUAUCUGAAGAGGAAGCCUAUUUAUUUUAUAACAACUAUGCUAAAGCUAUCGGUUUUAGCAUCAGAAGAAGCAGUGGUCAUAAAGUACCAAACUCUUGUACACUGCAGCAAUGGACAUUUACAUGCUCUCGUCAAGGUAUGGGUUACUUUUAAUUUGUUUUGAUUGUAAUCACUACUUUAUGCUCUAAGACAAUUAUACUACAACUUAUAGGCCAUCGCCGGGAAGAUAAAAGAGAGGAGACAUUCAGUUACAGUAGGCCUGAAACACGAUGUGGAUGUGAUGCCCAUAUGAAGAUUAGCCUUAGAAAUGGAGUUUAUUAUGUGUAUGAAUUCGAGGGGGCACAUAAUCACAAUCUUGCUCAUGGAAUCAUGGCCCAAUACCUGAGAUCCCAGAGAAAAGUGACAGAAGCACAAAUAGCAAAUGCAGAGAUCGCAAAGUCAGUAGGUAUUUCAAAUAAAGCAACAAUCGAUUUGAUGGCCAAAGAAGCAUGUGGAAGUGAAAACCUUGGCUUUAUACCUCAAGAUAUGAAAAACCGUUUGUACUCAAAGAGAAUAAUAAAAGCGAAGGUAGGUGACACCGGGGGAGUAUUAGAAUACAUGGAGAAAAAUGUCUCGGAAGAUGUCAACUUUUUCUAUUCAAUUCAAGUGGAUGAGGAUGAAUUGAUAACUAAUAUUAUUUGGGCUGACUCCAAAAUGGUUUCAGACUAUGCGCUAUUCGGCGAUGUUAUAUGCUUUGACACCACAUACAGGAAACUAGAUGAUGGAUGUCCAUUUGGUUUCAUUGUUGAGGUGAAUAAUCAUCAGAAAAUUGUUUUCUUUGGUGCUGCACUUCUCUAUGAUGAAACCGCUGCAAGUUUUGCUUGGCUUUUCAGAACUUUCCUAAAAGUUAUGUCAGGAAAACAUCCACGUACAGUUCUCACCGAUGAAGAUGCGGCAAUGGCAAAGGCAAUUCGUGAAGUCUUCCCUCACUCUCACCAUAAACUUUGCGUGUGGCAUAUGAAUCAAAAUGCUUGCAAGACCUCGCCGGAGUUGUUGACGAAUAUAAGAAGUUCAAUGCUGAUUUUCAGCACUGUAUAUAUGAUAUAGAAGAGGAGGAUGAAUUUGUAGGUGCAUGGGAUAAAAUGAUUGACAAGUAUGGACUACGUGACAAUCAAUGGCUGCAAAGGCUAUUUGAGAAAAAGGAACAGUGGGCACUAGUGUAUGGUAAAAAUACAUUCGCUGCCCACAUGAGCACUACCCAAAGAAGUGAAAGCAUGAACAAUGAACUAAAGAGAUACAUUAGUAUUAAAUAUGACAUGCUUACUUUCUUUGAGCAUUUUGAACAGCUAGUUUUGGAUAAAAGAUGUGAAGAGGUGAAGUAUGACUUUAAAGCAACACAGACUACUCCCAAGUUGAAGGCCGAAUCUAGCUAUAUGUUAACACAAGCUGCAGCUACAUAUACUCCAGCAAUAUUCAAGAUGGUUCAAGAUCAAGUGCUUCGGAGUCUGAACUAUGACACAUUGCUUUGUGAUGAAAGUGACACCGAGAUGAAGAUUUUUGUAGUAAAAUUUCAUGGCACACAAUGUGAACAUGUUGUUAGAUUCACACCCAAAGAAGAAAAGGUUAACUGCAGCUGCAAAAAGUUUGAGUUUGCUGGAAUCCUUUGCUCUCAUUGCCUAAAGGUACUUGAUAUCAAUAAUAUCAAGCAUAUUCCAGGAGAAUAUAUCUUAAAACGGUGGACAAUUGAUGCCAAAGUUCUAGAUAUAACAAGCAAAUACAACCCGCAUGAGAACCUAACAGCAAGAAUGUCUAAUCGCUAUAAGGAACUGUGUAGAAUGUUUGUGAAAAUAGCUGCUCGUGCAGCUGAGUCAGAAGAAUCAUACAAUAAGGAUGUUAAGUGUGCAGAGCAAUUAGCACAAGAUGUGAAAAAAUGGUUGAUGAUUAGAGUUGAUCCAGAUUUGGUUAGCGUUGAUCCAGAUUUAGAUAACUCAUGUACUAAAGAAGGUACAAACUAUACUAACAAUAAUUGCCUAGACUAUUGUAAAACAAAGUCUGAUAUUUAUCAUUAUAGUGGCAGGUGUGAAUAUCCCAUCUAGUAGGAUUUCAAAACAUGGUGAGGGGCUUGCAAAACCAAAAGGUAGGAAGGUCAAGGAGAAGACUGUCAAAGGAUCAAAAAGACCCGUUGGCGGAUUUGAGAAAGCAACUUCAAAAAAGAAAAAGAACACAGAUGAUAGUGUACAACAAAAGACUCAUGGCCCGUCAAUGGUAUCAUACUUCAUCUCAUUGUGGCUUAUAAAACAUUCAAUUGUACUGACAUUUCUCUAUCAAAUUUUACAGGGCCCUUUGGAGAAAUAGACUUCGAAAAAGAAAAAGAACAAAAAUGAUAUUGUACAACUACAGCCUCAUGGCCCCUCAACGGUAUAACAUUAUCACUUGUUUCUUUUAAAAUCUUCAACUGUAAUGACCUUUCUCUAUCAAUUUCAACAGGGUCCUUUAGAAUUUUUCGGGAACCAAAUGGGUGCAUAUCAAUUACCCUACAACACUAUCGUAACUGCUUCAAUGCAACCAUCAGUUGGUAACAUCCCGAUGCCACCACAGAGCCAACAACUGUUGACGGGAUUCCAACCAUACAACACAACAGUGGUAGAAGCAAUCCACACUUUCAAAGUUACGUUUUUUUUCCAAACUUCGUUGAAACUGAACUUUGCUACUUUGUGCAUAGUGUCAUCCCACAAACCACAUGUACGCCUAUUUACAGCAGCAGAACUCUACUCUGAAUCCCUCCCUGCACAAGACCAUUCGGGAAAAUCAAAGCUUCUUUCUUCAACCAAAGUCAACAUCUAUCCUAAAUGGUACAAUGCAGCCAUCAAUUGGUAAAACCAUGUCAAUGCCACCACAAAGACAAGAACAACAAAAUACUCUACUGGUAUAACAUUCCACCCUUUCUACUUUUCCAAUUUUGUAAACUUCAUUGAAACUGAACUUUGCUACUUUGUGCACAGGAUUAUCGGACAAACCACACGUACACCUAUCUACAACAGCAAAACUUGGCUCCGAAUCCCUCUUUGACAGAGAAUAUUGAAGCCUCUAACUAUAGUUCGAUGACAGGACAAAAUCAAGGCUUACUUCUUGAACCGAAGGCUACAUCUAUUAUAAAUGCUACAACACAACCAUCAGUUGGUCACACCACCCUGAUGCCACAGACCCAAGACCCACACAAUACUCAAGUGGUAUAACAUUCCAUACUUUCAAGUUUUCCAAUUUCUGAACUUCAAUGAAACUGAAAUUGCUAAUUUUCUGCCCAGGGUCAUGAGAUAAAUCACAUGUAUUUACAGCAGCAACACUUGGCGCAGGAUCCCUCAGUGCAAAGGAUCAUUGGAACCUCUACCUCUAGUAUGAUGACAGGACAAAAUCAAGCUUCCCUCAAUCAACCAAAGCCAGCAUGAUCUAUUUUGUUGUCGCGUGUUUUAUCUCAUGUGUCUUUUGACCUCCAAGUUGCAAAUAAUUUUUAUUAGAACUUAUACGUACCAUCAACUCAAUGCUACUACAUCUUCCCAAUCAAAUAUACUAGUUCACAGAUAUAUUUUUAAUGCAAUGGUACUAAUUCAUAGAAUUAGCUAUGAAGAAUUUUCCACAAGCAUCGUGCUCAUAUGAGCCUCUAAGCUAUCCUUCUCUCAGUUUAAGUUACGAUGACAGGGAUCCCAAUGAUCCAUUUUAAUUCUGCGAAAUAUAUGUACACAGAACCAUCUAUCUGAAUGUCAUGCUAAGAGGCAUAGAGCGAACAGAGAACAGAUUGACAAUCGGUCUGAAUUUAGCAUGCAAAGAAUCUUAAUUUAACUGAAUGAAAGCAGAGUAAUGGAAUUGCUAUUAGCUUUCCUUCUCUGAAUUUAACACGCAUCAGAUGGGAAUGCCACAAGAAGAAGUGGAAAUUACCUAUGUUCAGCGGAGGUAAUGUUGUAUGUAUGAGCUGCAAUCCCUUUCUUCUUCCUCUCUGAGUACCAAAUAGAUGGCGCUCAUGCUGCUGUCCUCGACUUCCUUCUUCUCGCCUCUUGACCCCUACUCCACAAGCCCGAGGACCAGCCUGCCAAGGACACGCCGCCCUCUUGCGUGGCCGUCCCACAUGCUACCGCUAGGAUCCGCGACUCAUAUUAGCGAGGACGGCGCCGUGGAGGAUCCCAUUCCGACCGAGCUGCUGCACGACCAGUCCCAGCAGGCG
rnacentral:lncRNA from 1 species